AACGAACGCUGGCGGCAUGCCUAACACAUGCAAGUCGAACGAGACCUUCGGGUCUAGUGGCGCACGGGUGCGUAACGCGUGGGAACCUGCCCUUAGGUUCGGAAUAACUCCCCGAAAGGGGUGCUAAUACCGGAUAAUGUCUUCGGACCAAAGAUUUAUCGCCUUUGGAUGGGCCCGCGUUGGAUUAGCUAGUUGGUAGGGUAAAAGCCUACCAAGGCGACGAUCCAUAGCCGGUCUGAGAGGAUGAUCAGCCACACUGGGACUGAGACACGGCCCAGACUCCUACGGGAGGCAGCAGUGGGGAAUAUUGGACAAUGGGCGAAAGCCUGAUCCAGCAAUGCCGCGUGAGUGAUGGAGGCCUUAGGGUUGUAAAGCUCUUUUACCCGGGAUGAUAAUGACAGUACCGGGAGAAUAAGCUCCGGCUAACUCCGUG
rnacentral:rRNA from 1 species